UUCAAGAUGUGUCAGCUGAAUUGGCAAAUAACAUAGUGGUGCAAGGGACAUGUGCAUCACAAGAAGUUAUGUUAAAUGUGGAUGACAAUAAUCAGCUCACAACCACGUGUGUAUGGUGUGGAAUAGAGUUUAACCACGAUGCUGUUGAUUCUGAAAUACAAUCAGAUUCUGUUGGAUUCAUGUGUCCAGUUUGCAAGGCAAAAAUAUCUGGUCAAAUCAAUGUGUUGGACAGUGGAUCACCAAAUGCUGGCCAUUUUUAGACUG
rnacentral:lncRNA from 1 species